rnacentral:lncRNA from 1 species
CCUCUAAGAUCAUCUAGUCCAACCAUCCACCUACCACCAGUAUUUCCCUACUAAACCACGUACCUCAGUACAACAUCCAAAUGUUUCUUGAACACAUACAGGUUCUGUGACUUAAACAUCUCUCUGGGCAGCCUGUUCCAAUGCCUAACCACUCCUUCUGAAAAUAAAUUUCUCCUAAUAUCCUACCUGAACCUCUCCUGGCACAUCUUGUGAACAAUUCCCUCUAGUCCUAUUACUAAUUACACUUGUAACCUCAAUUCCCUCACCCAAAUCAUCAACAAAGAUAUUAAACAGGAUGGGCCCCAACACCGACUCCUGGGGCACACCACUCAUGACCAGUUGCCAGCUGGAUUUAACUCUAUUCACCACCACUCUCUGGGUUCGACUAUCCAGCUAGCUCUUUACCCAGCUAAGACUGUACCUGACCAAGACACAGGCUUCCAGUUUCUCCAAGGGAAUAUUGUGGGAGACAGUGUCAAAGGUUUUGCUAAAGUCUAGGUAGACUACAUCAACAGCCUUUCCCUCAUCCACUAGGUGGGUCACGUGAUCAUAGAAGGAGGUCAGCUUCGUCAAGCAAGACCUGCUUUUCAUGAGCACAUGUUGGCUGGGCCUGAUCCCCAGUUGUCCUGCAUGUGCUGUGUGAUUGCAUUCAAGAUGAUCUGUUCAUCUUAUAAGCCAUGCAAGGUCUAUUUAGAAAUCUCUGUUCCUAACUAGUAGAAAGGAUAUAAAACGAACUGUAAAUACAGAAAUAAGCUGUAUAAGCUAACCUGGAAAACUGUAGGAUUCUAUGCAACGCUAUUCAGGACAAUGACUUCUGAAACUACUUAAUUGCUUCAAACAUAAUUAAAAAUACCUUGAGAAAUUAGGGUUUACAUUUCUUUCAUUUGUACAGUGAGUGAAAUGAAGUGUUAGAACCACUUCAUGGGAAAAGCUGGUCAGUUCUUAUGUAGACGAGGGUAGUAUUUAGCUUCUAUUGGACUACAUCUACUCUGAGUCUGACAUUCUUAAACUUGAAAAUUCAAUAACCUCCCUUCCAUAUACAAACUGUCAAAGAGAGUAGUGGAAGACUGCUUUUCGUGAAAACUUCUACGGUUUAUUUUACCUUUUCAAGGUACACAUCUUUUUUGGAAGAACACUGCACACAUAAAAGAAGUGUACACCUAUCACCAGUAAAUGGUCUUCUCCUUCAGUCCUUCAACUAUACAUUCGAGGAUUAUGAUUUAAGUAGUUUGAAAACCAAAUUAUGUGUCAACAAAUAUAACUUGAAACUCUGUGAGUUUAAAUGUAGCCCCAUACUUAUCACACUAAGGUAGGAGUGAUUUUAAAACAAUAAAAUCAAGAAAAAAGAAUGUGGUUUGUUACAACUUAUUAAUUUUCAACAUGCAGAUUAUUCAGCAACAUGAUGACGUCUCAGAUCAAAAUCAACAGCAAUAGCAAUCUGAGAGAAAAUCAGUCAUUUAAAGUGAUGUUCUACCAAAAAUACAGCCAAGUGAUGGGACACCAUACUGGAAUAAGACUUCAAUUGCUCCACUUUACCUAGGCCUCUGAAUUACAAGUCUUAGUCAAGUAGGAACAGUGUUGUAAUACCCUUCAAUAUCAUUAAGAUCUGAAUAUCAUUUCUACAAGCCACCUAAUAAAUUGUCCUUUGGGAUCUUCCUCUUUUAUUAUUAAACAUUUAUCACAUUUUUUUCAGUGUAUUCUUUUAGUUUAGUAAUAGAUGACCAAUAUUUGAUGGGCUACUUCAUUUCUUCAUUUACGUUGGAUUGAAACCCGUGCUUAAAAAAAAAAAAAAAAAAAACACCUAUCAAUAAGCUACACAGAGCAAAUGUCACUAUAUAAAAGAAAACAGAUGUUUUCUGGCACAUAACUUAAUUUGGCAAUUCAGUAUAUGGAACAUCAGUUUUACUUCAAUCAAGUACUGAA